rnacentral:rRNA from 1 species
GACGAACGCUGGCGGCGUGCCUAACACAUGCAAGUCGAACGGGAGCGCCCUGUUCUUGCACUGGUCAAUCUAGUGGCAAACGGGGGAGUAACACGUGGGUAACCUGCCCCUCUUUGGGGGAUAAUAUUCGAAAACGGAUUCAAAAACCGCAGAGGCCUCCGCACCGCAUGGGUCGGAGAGGAAUAGAGGCGUAAGCUUCUGCUUACGGAUGGACCCGCGUUGCAUUAGCUAGGUGGUGGGGUCACGGCUUACCAAGGCCGUGAUGCAUAGCCGACCGGAGGGGGGGAUCGGCCGCAUUGGGACGGAGACAGGGCCCAUACUCCUACGGGAGGCAGCAGGCGGGAAUCGUAGGCAAUGGAGGCGAGUCUGACGCAGCAAGGCCGCGUGAGUGAAGAAGGCUUUCGGUUCGUAAAGCUCUCUUGUUGGAUAAGAAUAGGUGCUGGCUUAGCCGUUGCGGGAUUGACGGUAUCCAGCCAAGAAGCACCGGCUAACUACGUG